rnacentral:rRNA from 1 species
CCUACGGGGGGCAGCAGUGGGGAAUAUUGGACAAUGGGGAGAACCCUGAUCCAGCCAUGCCGCGUGUGUGAAGAAGGCCCUCGGGUUGUAAAGCACUUUCAGUGAGGAAGAACGCCUGGUGGUUAAUACCCAUCAGGAAAGACAUCACUCACAGAAGAAGCACCGGCUAACUCCGUGCCAGCAGCCGCGGUAAUACGGAGGGUGCGAGCGUUAAUCGGAAUUACUGGGCGUAAAGCGCGCGUAGGUGGCUUGAUAAGCCGGUUGUGAAAGCCCCGGGCUCAACCUGGGAACGGCAUCCGGAACUGUCAAGCUAGAGUGCAGGAGAGGAAGGUAGAAUUCCCGGUGUAGCGGUGAAAUGCGUAGAGAUCGGGAGGAAUACCAGUGGCGAAGGCGGCCUUCUGGACUGACACUGACACUGAGGUGCGAAAGCGUGGGUAGCAAACAGGAUUAGAUACCCUGGUAGUC